AAGCUUGCUUUUCUGAUCUAGUGGCGGACGGGUGAGUAACACGUGAGCAAUCUGCCUUUCAGAGGGGGAUACCGAUUGGAAACGAUCGUUAAUACCGCAUAACAUAAUUGAACCGCAUGAUUUGAUUAUCAAAGAUUUAUCGCUGAAAGAUGAGCUCGCGUCUGAUUAGCUAGUUGGUAAGGUAACGGCUUACCAAGGCGACGAUCAGUAGCCGGACUGAGAGGUUGAUCGGCCACAUUGGGACUGAGACACGGCCCAGACUCCUACGGGAGGCAGCAGUGGGGAAUAUUGCACAAUGGAGGAAACUCUGAUGCAGCGAUGCCGCGUGAGGGAAGAAGGUUUUAGGAUUGUAAACCUCUGUCUUCAGGGACGAAAAAAGACGGUACCUGAGGAGGAAGCUCCGGCUAACUACGUGCCAGCAGCCGCGGUAAUACGUAGGGAGCGAGCGUUGUCCGGAAUUACUGGGUGUAAAGGGAGCGUAGGCGGGAUCGCAAGUCAGAUGUGAAAACUAUGGGCUUAACCCAUAAACUGCAUUUGAAACUGUGGUUCUUGAGUGAAGUAGAGGUAAGCGGAAUUCCUAGUGUAGCGGUGAAAUGCGUAGAUAUUAGGAGGAACAUCAGUGGCGAAGGCGGCUUACUGGGCUUUAACUGACGCUGAGGCUCGAAAGCGUGGGGAGCAAACAGGAUUAGAUACCCUGGUAGUCCACGCCGUAACGAUGAUUACUAGGUGUGGGGGGGACUGACCCCUUCCGUGCCGCAGCAAACGCAAUAAGUAAUCCACCUGGGGAGUACGACCGCAAGGUUGAAACUCAAACGAAUUGACGGGGGCCCGC
rnacentral:rRNA from 1 species